GUUAGUUUCUAAUUAUUUAAAUUUGUUUGACAGGGUAACAAAGAUCUUAUCCUUGUCCAUGAAGCUCUUGACUAUGGAGACUGCCGUUUAUCUCUAGCGAUACCCAAGUAUGGCAUUUUUGAGAAUAUAAAUUCUUUACAAGAGCUGGCACAAAUGCCGCAGUGGACACCUGAGAGACCUCUGCGAGUUGCAACUGGCUUCACAUAUCUUGGUCCAAAGUUUAUGAAAGAAAAUGGAUUGAAGCAUGUCACUUUUUCAAGCGCUGAUGGAGCUCUGGAGGCUGCUCC